rnacentral:rRNA from 1 species
AGAGUUUGAUCCUGGCUCAGGACGAACGCUGGCGGCGCGCCUAACACAUGCAAGUCGAACGAGCGAGAGAGAGCUUGCUUUCUCGAGCGAGUGGCGAACGGGUGAGUAACGCGUGAGGAACCUGCCUCAAAAGGGGGACAACAGUUGGAAACGACUGCUAAUACCGCAUAAGCCCACGGCUCGGCANCGUUUUUAGCAGAGGGAAAAGGAGCAAUCCGCUUUGAGAUGGCCUCGCGUCCGAUUAGCUGGUUGGUGAGGUAACGGCCCACCAAGGCGACGAUCGGUAGCCGGACUGAGAGGUUGAACGGCCACCAUUGGGACUGAGACACGGCCCAGACUCCUACGGGAGGCAGCA